rnacentral:rRNA from 1 species
GACGAACGCUGGCGGCAGGCCUAACACAUGCAAGUCGAGCGGAGCGGCGGACGGGUGAGUAAUGCCUAGGAAUCUGCCUGGUAGUGGGGGAUAACGUACGGGAACGGGCGCUAAUACCGCAUACUAUCAGAUGAGCCUCGGUCGGAUUAGAUAGUUGGUGGGGUAGAUGCUUACCAAGGCGACGAUCCGUAACUGGUCUGAGAGGAUGAUCAGUCACACUGUAACUGAGACACGGUCCAAACUCCUACGGGAGUCAGCAGUGGGGAAUAUUGGACAAUGGGCGAAAGCCUGAUCGAGCCAUGCCGCGUGUGUGAAGAAGGUCUUCGGAUUGUAAAGCACUGUAAGUUGGGAGGCGUUACCAACAGAAUAAGCACCGGCUAACUUCGUGCCAGCAGCCGCGGUAAUUC